rnacentral:tRNA from 14 species
CUUCAGGUGAGAGGGGCGGGCUUCAAAGUCGGUGAGGCAUGCC